GCAGAUGCCCCACACCUCAUCUAUUCCCAUCUUGGCACCAUCCUACCUGCACCUCGGCAAGGAGAUUUGGUCUCAUGUUUGUCACCGCAAGCAAUUGAAACAACUGGCGUGUCUGGCAACAGAUGAAAUAAGGCAUGGGAAUUUAUACUCAUAUACCUGCUACUUGUGCCAUCAAAAAAUACUUUAAAGGAGAAGGAGCAACCCAUGCUCAGGUGUUCACUUUUAAACAUGGCCUAGUACAGAUAUAUUCUACAACUGGAGAAAAAUGGUUAUGAUUAAGGCUUAGAAGUGGAGUGCAGUGAAGAAACUUUAGGGAAGCCUGACAACCACCCCCUCUGCUGAUCCCUGUGGAAUUUUACAUGGAUAAUGAGUAAAAGACUGUCCUGCCAAUAGAGGAUACAGUGAAACGGUAUGGAACAUACACAGUGGAACAGACGACACUAUUGACUCCAGAAGAAGGAGAUGAAGAAGCCUAGAUUCCAUAAUGCGGGAGUCCCAGAUCCUCAAAGUACGAUGAUUCGCCAAAUCAAGAAAUGAGGAUUA
rnacentral:lncRNA from 1 species